GCGCGUAUAGCUCAGUGGUUAGAGCACUAAACUUAUAAUUUAGGGGUCGAUGGUUCAAAUCCAUCUACGCGCACCA
rnacentral:tRNA from 1 species